GUUGUAUGAUUUGCUUCUGUGUUUUGUUUCAGGUCACUGUGCUUUUCGUUUUUUGGGGCUUCUGUAUACAAGCUUGGAAGCCAAUUAUGUUCAAGGUUAUGGAUGCAUGAUUGGUUGUUGGUUGAAGUGAUUUCUCCCCACCGCAUCGCGUCCAGAAGAUCAGGUUUAAUAAUUUUCGCACAUUCUUCAAUCGAUUCUGUCAAUUUUUUCAUCAAUUCUGUCAAUUUUUUUUAUGAAUUACACAGCUCUGGUUUUGAAUCUUUGUUUGGUGAUCGAAGAUUGAUUUCUUUGUCUCUUCAUUGUCGAUUCAGGUGCUCACCUCACAUGGCUUCAUUGGAGAUGUGAUGGUUUUGCUUAAGUGUUUUAGAUAAUCUGAAAAAAUAUGUAGAUACUAUGAUUUGGGGUUGCUUCCUUAAACCGUGAUAAAGCAGUCCAUGUAAUUUUAGCAUGGUAUCAUUUUUUAUCUAAUGCAUGAGUAUAAGAAAUGUUAAGACAAUAGUAUAUUGGGAAACACCAUGUGAUUUAAAAUGCAAAGAGAAACAAUGAACCAUGUUUUAUAUUUU